CCUACGGGUGGCAGCAGUGGGGAAUAUUGGACAAUGGGGGCAACCCUGAUCCAGCCAUGCCGCGUGUGUGAAGAAGGCCCUCGGGUUGUAAAGCACUUUCAGUGAGGAAGAACGCCUGGUGGUUAAUACCCAUCAGGAAAGACAUCACUCACAGAAGAAGCACCGGCUAACUCCGUGCCAGCAGCCGCGGUAAUACGGAGGGUGCGAGCGUUAAUCGGAAUUACUGGGCGUAAAGCGCGCGUAGGUGGCUUGAUAAGCCGGUUGUGAAAGCCCCGGGCUCAACCUGGGAACGGCAUCCGGAACUGUCAAGCUAGAGUGCAGGAGAGGAAGGUAGAAGUCCCGGUGUAGCGGUGAAAUGCGUAGAGAUCGGGAGGAAUACCAGUGGCGAAGGCGGCCUUCUGGACUGACACUGACACUGAGGUGCGAAAGCGUGGGUAGCAAACAGGAUUAGAUACCCUGGUAGUC
rnacentral:rRNA from 1 species